rnacentral:rRNA from 1 species
GGGGGAUAUUGCACAAUGGAGGAAACUCUGAUGCAGCAACGCCGCGUGAGGGAAGAAGGUCUUCGGAUUGUAAACCUUUGUCCUUGGUGACGAAACAAAUGACGGUAGCCAAGGAGGAAGCUCCGGCUAACUACGUGCCAGCAGCCGCGGUAAUACGUAGGGAGCGAGCGUUGUCCGGAUUUACUGGGUGUAAAGGGUGCGUAGGCGGCUCUGCAAGUCAGGCGUGAAAUACAUGGGCUUAACCCAUGGACUGCGUUUGAAACUGUGGGGCUUGAGUGAAGUAGAGGUAGGCGGAAUUCCCGGUGUAGCGGUGAAAUGCGUAGAGAUCGGGAGGAACACCAGUGGCGAAGGCGGCCUACUGGGCUUUAACUGACGCUGAAGCACGAAAGCAUGGGUAGCAAAC